AGCCUCAAUUUUUAAUACCCAUCUGGAUAUUCUGAAGGUUAAUUUGAAAAGCAAUGAAAGAUGAUAUUAUUGACAUUACUGUCGAAGCAUUUAUAUGUAACCAGAAGACUGAUUUCAAGUUAAGAUUCUACUUUGAAUUAAGAUUCCAGCCAGUGAUUGAGGAUUGAGCAAACUUUGCAACCUUCCAUUUUGCAAUUGGAUUACUUUAAAAAACUUCAGUAGAAGCAGAGUUAAUUGAAUGGUUCAAAGCAGACUAAUAAUGAUACCUACUGUGUAAGAAGGAUGCUCAGAUACCUCUACCUCAAGCUUAGACAAAGCAACUAAUCUGAUCCAUACCAAGGAUUUGUUCUUUGCGUGUUUGUGAGUGUUGUGUUUGCUCCAUGUCCCGCUGCACCUCUCUGUUUCCUCCCUUCAAAAAUAAGUAUCUUAACAUCAUCAGUCUUACUCAAUUGUAUGUUUUACCGUUUGGAACACAGUAGAUGUUAAUGAGUGUUUGCUGAUUAAACAAAUAAAUGAAUAAUGCUCCAGGAACCAAAAGUAACUGCCAACUA